AUCCAGAUGACCAGUCCUAAAUAGGACGAAAUCCGCAUCCUGGUGGAU
rnacentral:hammerhead_ribozyme from 1 species